GGAGUGGGUUGGUCGAUCGCGCGUGCGCAAGCACGUGAGGAAAGUCCGGACUCCAUAGGGCAAGGUGCCAGCUAACGGCUGGGCGGGGCGACCCGACGGAAAGUGCCACAGAAAAGAAAACUCUCUCGCGCAAGCGGGAGAAAAGCUGAAACGGUGCGGUAAGAGCGCACCAGCGUCGCGGCAACGCGGCGGCUUGGCAAACCCCACCCGGAGCAAGAGCAAAUAGGAGCGGUCAAGGUCGGCCCGACCGGCGCUCGGGUAAGCUCGCGUGAGGCCGUCGGCGACGGCGGUCCCAGAUAAAUGAUCGUCCACGACAGAAUCCGGCUUACAGACCCACUCCACCC
rnacentral:RNase_P_RNA from 1 species